UACGUAGGGCGCAAGCGUUGUCCGGAAUUAUUGGGCGUAAAGAGCUCGUAGGCGGUUUGUCGCGUCUGCUGUGAAAACCUAAGGCUCAACCUUGGGCUUGCAGUGGGUACGGGCAGACUAGAGUGCGGUAGGGGUGACUGGAAUUCCUGGUGUAGCGGUGGAAUGCGCAGAUAUCAGGAGGAACACCGAUGGCGAAGGCAGGUCAC
rnacentral:rRNA from 1 species